rnacentral:rRNA from 1 species
UUUAGCAGCAUUAGCACGUUGAAUGCACCCCUUCUCAAUGAAUCCCUGAAGUUAAUUAACGUUGCGCUUGGUUGGUAUCUGGAUGGGUGACUAUCAGAGCAUCAAUCGCGUGCUGUUGGCU